rnacentral:rRNA from 1 species
UACGGAGGGUGCAAGCGUUAUCCGGAUUCACUGGGUUUAAAGGGUGCGUAGGUGGGCAAGUAAGUCAGUGGCGAAAUCUCCGGGCUUAACCCGGAAACUGCCAUUGAUACUAUUUGUCUUGAAUACUGUGGAGGUCAGCGGAAUAUGUCAUGUAGCGGUGAAAUGCUUGGAUAUGACAUAGAACACCAAUUGCGAAGGCAGCUGGCUACACAAAUAUUGACACUGAGGCACGAAAGCGUGGGGAUCAAACAGG